CACCAGCGCCACAAGUGGUCGUCGCGAUUAUUGGGCCUAAAGCGUUCGUAGCCGGUUUGGUAAAUCUCUUGUGAAAUUGUUCGGCCUAACCGGACAGCGUGCAGGGGACACUGCCGAACUCGAGACCGGGAGGGGUCAGAGGUAUUCCGUGGGGACCGGUAAAAUGGGAUAAUCCACGGAGGACCACCGAUGGCGAAGGCAUCUGACCAGAACGGGUCUGACGGUGAGGAACGAAAGCCAGGGGAGCGAACCGGAUUAGAUACCCGAGUAGUCCUGGCCGUAAACGCUGUGAGCUAGGUGUCGCGUAUCUCACGAAGAUGCGCGGUGUCGAAACGAAGGUGAUAAGCUCACCGCCUGGGAAGUACGGUCGCAAGACUGAAACUUUAAGGAAUUGGCGGGGGCGCACUACAAGGGGUGCGGCGUGCGGUUUAAUUCAACUCAACGCGGAGAACCUUACUAGGGGCGACGGCAAGAUGAAGAUCGUGCUGAAGACACUAUCAGAUGAGCCGAGAGGUAGUGCAUGGCCGUCGUCAGCUCGUGCCGUGAGGUGUCCAGUUAAGUCUGGUAACGAGCAAGACCUGUACCCACAAUUGCUAACGAACUCUGUGAUCGAGCACUUUAUGGGGACUGCCCAGGUAACUGGGAGGAAGGCGCAGGCAACGAUAGGUCUGUAUGCUCCGAAUCCCCUAGGCUACACGCGCGCAACAAUGGUAGAGACAAUGGGCUGCAACCCCGAAAGGGGAAGCUAAUCCUCGAACCUCUACCCUAGUACAGAUCGAGGCUUGCAACUCAGCCUCGUGACGGCGGAAUCCCUAGUAAUCAGCUGUCAUCAUCUGCUGGUGAAUAUGUCCCUGCGCCU
rnacentral:rRNA from 1 species